UUGGAUUUUAAAUAUUAUUUUGGGCUUAUUUUUCAAAAUCAACAACCUAACAGGUUAACACUUGCCCCUCUACAAAAGCAGGCACAAAAGGCUCACUAUAUGGAAGUAUCAUGUACUGCAGAGAGACAACAGCUAGGCUCCCACAAAACAGAUUGACAGUGCAAUUUAUUAUAGUAGCCUACUUUUUAAUCCUGACAAAGGCAAAAUAACUUUGACUUAUUUGAAGCCUGGGGUGCAUUUAUUUUAUUUUAAAAUGGUAGCAUAAAUUGCAUAGAACACUGCAAUGCAUUUAGAAAUGCAUUCAAAUCAGUCAUUUUGAUGCAUAAUACUUUUGCAUUUAGACUUGGAAUUACACUAGGCUAACAUUAUCUUCUGCUAACAUUAUCAGCACGUGUUGUCAGUGUGGUGGAGUACCGGGUAUGCUACGUUGUCAAGGUAAUGGACGCACACUGUCAAGAAAGGGCCUUUGCUGAUUGGCUUGCGACAUCUCGAAUUCCGAUCGAGUCCUGACAUCUGAUUGGUCAGAUCGUUUAUCCCGUAUGAAAAGCGGUUUAGGAGCCAUUCGGGGUUUACAACAGCAAACCCCAGUGAUUUAUCGAGAUAACCUCACGUAACUAUUUACUAGCUACAGCUAUAACUAUUUCAUCCAUAAAGCUGCAUCAGUUAGUGUGGCUGGUGUGCAGGCUGAGGAGGUGCAGCUUCAGCAGGGGGAGAGGGGGGAGGAGGAGGUGGAGGAGCUGUCGUUGGGGAACCAGCAGGAGCCAGGCCAUAUCAGUACACCAGCUCAGCUGCAGGAAGAGCAGGACCAGCAGGGCCCCACACUGGAGACAACAGAGGACCACACACAGCAUGCAGAGAGCAUCAUCGAAAACCUGCAGAGGAAGAUCACAUCACUAGAGGGCGCUAUCACCAAAGUGACACCUGAUAGCGAGUCGGCAGACACUGAACCAAUAGAACUUGAGACCCAGCUGAACCCCACAGUAGAGCAGAGUCAGGAGCAGGACCUGCAGGCCUUACUGGACCAGUUGCACCAGGAGAGAGACAGUCUGAACAGACUGGUGCAGAAACUCAGCCUCACAGAGAGAGAGCAGGUCCUGUACACAGAGCCAGACGGCAGGGGGAAACGUGGCUCUCGUCUGGACAGCUUCUUGCGGAACGUGGAGGAGGAGAGGGACUACUACAGACAGG
rnacentral:lncRNA from 8 species